CGGGUGGUAGUGGUAAAGAAGAGGCCAGGUGGGCCCCGUGGGCUUACGGGCGAGUCUAGAAAGGGUUGAGGGCCCGAAAAGUGCGUCUCUCUCUGUCGAGAGCUGCCGACGGUAUACCCCGCGCCGGAGAGGAGGCCUUGUGAGUUUUUUAUUACCUUUUUUAUAUCGAGUUCUGAAAGUGCUAUCAAAAUAACGAUCGGAAUUUUGAGCCUUCAAAUAUCGCAAUGGCGCGCGGUUAAACGUCCCGAUAUGGAGAAAACACCAGUUAGGUAAGGGCAAACAAUUCAGCUACAAUUGUGCUUAAGCCAAUUUGCUUAAGAGUCGGCCGGUCGCUUGCUUGUUGCAUGAUGAAAUCGAAUCAACGCCGCGUUCCGUCGGACGGUAUCGCAAUUUUUGAAAUGGCGAAUGUUCGAAUGGCACGCGAACUUUUCCGCUAUUAUCUUCAGCUACCUUAUCAGCCGUGACUAUAACAAGCGCUCUUAAUUCGAUGACUCACGGCGCGACUACAAUUGCACGUACUUUCCCAUUCACCGACUUCAUUCGCAACAAAAAUUCGUCAGUCAGUCAAUAAAGAGAAGGGAGAGACAGAUAAAAGAAAAAGAAAGAUAUAUAUGCAGGCGCCUCCUUCGUCUCUUCACGGAUCAGGUGUAACGAUCGAGCGCGAGCGUGUCUCGGAAUUAGGGAUCGGUGACGUAAGGGACAACAUUUGAAAAUCACGAAGCAGCUCACACCCCGAUCUUCCUCCCGUGAGACAAUCUCACCCUUCCUCUCGAUGCCGCUUCCAAUCCCACUCCUUUCGCCUCCUCCUCCUCCUCCUCCACCAUACCACAUUAUUUUUCUACCUUCCUCCUCACCCUCUCUUUCCUUCGCUCCUUUCUAACUGUCAUCGUUCCGCGAGGUGGUCAACAACGAUCGUACUUGCACCUUUCUCACAGCGCGCGACGCAGGUUUAGUCAUCCCUUCUUUUCACGUCCCUUUCACUCGUGCAAACGAGCGAGAGGGACGGCGAAUCGCCCGGGAAAGAGAGGCCGCCGCGAAAGGCAAAGGGAGAAGCAGCGAGGAACGUCAAGAGAGAGAAUGAGAGAGAGAGGGCGGGAGAGAGGGAGAUGAAGAAAGAGCCGGUACGACGACGACGGCGAUGACGACGACGAUGUGGUGAACGCAGGGCGAAGGGGAAAAGGAGGAAGGAGAAAGAGAACACGGAGCGCGAGAAGUAGAAAGACCGAGAUCCAGUUUGAACGUAUAAACCGUGCGGAUUCUACAGUGGAUAUCGCGAAUUGCACCAGCGAACGCGCUUAAUGUGGAUGACGAUAUUUCUCGGCCAUUUUUUAAAUAUUUCUGCAUAUCAUUAAUAUCAUAUCAGUUAAAUACAUGAGUUUAAUACAAUUAUGUAUUAAACAUAUCAGUUUAAUACAAUUUUAAUAAAUUUAUAUGUAAAUUUAUAUGUAAAAUAUUAACGAAAAUUUCGACUUAAUAAAAGUAAUACUACUGUGUCCAAAAAGUAAGACCAGUUUUUAUUUAUUUCAAAAAAUAUUUAUUCUUCUAAAUCUAUUUCGUCGCCUUCAAAGUAAUCUCCUCCCGACACAAUACACUUGUGCCAACGUAUUUUCUAGUCCUUGAAACAAGAAUUAAAGUCGCCUUCCGGGGUGGCUUUCAGAACGCGUAGCGAUUCACGUUGUAUCUUUUCUAUCGUCUCAAAACGAUUUCCCCGCAAUGGUCUUUUGAGUUUCGGAAAUAGCCAGAAG